rnacentral:rRNA from 1 species
AGAGACGAGUCAGAGUUUGAUCCUGGCUCAGGAUGAACGCUGGCGGCGUGCUUAACACAUGCAAGUCGAACGGAGUUCCUUGGAUAGAGGUUUCGGCCAAUUGAAAUGGAACUUAGUGGCGGACGGGUGAGUAACGCGUGAGGAACCUGCCUCGGAGUGGGGAAUAACACAGUGAAAAUUGUGCUAAUACCGCAUAAUGCAGUUGAGUCGCAUGGCUCUGACUGCCAAAGAUUUAUCGCUCUGAGAUGGCCUCGCGUCUGAUUAGCUAGUUGGCGGGGUAACGGCCCACCAAGGCGACGAUCAGUAGCCGGACUGAGAGGUUGACCGGCCACAUUGGGACUGAGACACGGCCCAG